UUCGCCUGGUUCGCCGACACCUGAUCUAUUUCAACCACGUUGCAUUAAUCCGCUCAAGUGCAAAUAGUAGAUGCUCAAGUGCAAAUAAGCGAUGCUCUUCAAAUGAUGUCCUUUCGUGGCAGCUCUACACCUUCGGGCACGCCUUCUUCUGAUAGCUCUAGCAUCAAACAUCAAACGGUUGCAGAAAUUCGGCUAAUAAUCCGAAUCACAAUAUGAUGGUACAGAGGCACACCACCCCCUCCUCGGCUGAUGUUAGUCCCAGCAUGUAAAUGCCCGUUCCAAAUACUUUGAAUGUACAUACGAUCGCAUCAAUCAUCACCACAGUUAUCAUUUUCGUUCACACCAUUUGUCAUCACUGCCACCGCAUCUGCAUCUUCCGCCACCACCGUCAUCCGGCAUAUCUCCAGGUGGUUUAAUAAAAAUAUUCCGCAGGGAAGUUUAGUGUAGUACGCCUCAUCCACGCCCAUCAAUGGAUCAAAUGCCUCAGCAGAUUGACACAAUUCGAACGUCUGGACCUCCUUCACGGCACUCAAUAUAUGAGCCAUCGCAUUGAGAUUAUCAAGAGGGUGGAUCUGUUGGAAACUACUUUGGAGCAAGAAUAGAGCAGCUUUAUUUUGAGCUUUCAAAGUUGGACAGCUACUAUUAGUUAUAUUUGCUUGUCCACUCGCUUCUGUCCCAGUUGAAGGGCCACCGCAAAUGUACCGUAGUCUCACUCCCGUAUUAAACUGGGCAUCACUAAUUACAGUCCCCAGAGCAAACAGCUGGAUCUAUAUUGCGGUCCCCAGCUGGGCCAGUCAGUGGAAACACUCAGCUGGAGCCAUAAACCUCCACCCCCACCGUAAGUCAUCACCGAACAACCGAAGAGAGCGCAGGGCAUCCAAUCUUCGCACUCGUACUAUCAGAAAGCUGGCACGCUAGAAAGUCUUGCCGAAAAGGUGCGUUCUACCCAAGCGCCAACCGACGCAUGUCAGCCGGAACCGGUGUCAUCAUGUCGCAAUCCUAUCAAAGGUUUCCACGAAGCGGUUUCGAUCAACACCUGCUUCUACUCGGAUACGCAGACUACCAAUCACUCAGGGAGACACGCCUAACAUCCGACCUUAUGCAAGCAGGUCCAAUCGCCGGCGAUACACUUGACCGUUGCGGACAUUAGGAACCUCCACCGCCAUCAUGCAGUCCGAAGUACGGUUCAUCGCCACUGGAUCCUUUCAAAACCCUCCCGUCCGGUGUUAGAUUAGUUCAGACUGCAGUACGAAAACGACGGAAAUCUUUUCAGCUCUCAAGUAAGGAUCCUCAGGGAUUUUCGCCAUCGUUAAAUCGGCAGUGCAUUAAUCUUUGCCUCGGAUGAAUAUCGAGCUUGGUUGCGACGAGCACCCAGCAUUUCUGCUACGAACAAAUCUUGGCAUCCCAAAUCAGCAGCGGACCAUUGGUUCUCUUGUUCGGCCGAAAACAUCUACAGCAGCCGGUUGCUCACUGGACCAGAUUAUGCCGAUGCCGCAUGUCUUCCCUGCCGGCACGGUCUAUGUCCUCGCUACAUAUCGUCGUCAAUUCGUUAAUCAAGUGUCCAGCGUAUGCGACAGCUGUUGGAACUGACUCAAGCUGGUCGGAUGGUGUACCAGGAUCAGCAAUGGCAGCCCUCAUCGGCCAUCAGAGCCCGGCACCUAAACCGAGCACAGCACUGCCCCACAACCAUCGACAGAUCGACAUUAACCCGGCCGAGUAUACAAAGCACAGUUGUUGGCGCAUUCGGAAUGUCCAGCCAGAAUGUUGUGGAUCCAUCUGCUUGCCGGUCGUGGAUUACGGGGCAUGUCUGAAAUGUCCCAAGCGCAGCAACCGAUGAUCCGAGAUGUACUGCUCACUACUUCCCAGCUGCUUCCCAGCGGCAAUCCGUGGAGAGCCUGCUUACUGCCCGCCACGCUGCCCGCAAGCUGCACCCGGAACGGAUCUUGGCUUCGGCACGGCUGUUCUGGCGAAAAUUCCGAAAGAUGCAGGCGUUCCGUAUUACUUAUUUGGUACAAUAAAUAAUU